rnacentral:rRNA from 1 species
CCUACGGGUCGCACCAGUGGGGAGUAUUGGGCAAUGGGCGCAAGCCUGACCCAGCCAUGCCGCGUGAGUGACGAAGGCCUUAGGGUUGUAAAGCUCUUUUGGCGGGGACGAUAAUGACGGUACCCGCGGAAUAAGCCCCGGCUAACUUCGUGCCAGCAGCCGCGGUAAUACGAAGGGGGCUAGCGUUGUUCGGAAUCACUGGGCGUAAAGCGCACGUAGGCGGACUUUCAAGUCAGGGGUGAAAUCCCGGGGCUCAACCUCGGAACUGCCUUUGAUACUGUUGGUCUCGAGUCCGAUAGAGGUGGGUGGAAUUCCUAGUGUAGAGGUGAAAUUCGUAGAUAUUAGGAAGAACACCGGUGGCGAAGGCGGCCCACUGGAUCGGUACUGACGCUGAGGUGCGAAAGCGUGGGGAGCAAACAGGAUUAGAUACCCGAGUAGUC